rnacentral:rRNA from 1 species
CCUACGGGAGGCAGCAGUGGGGAAUAUUGCACAAUGGGCGCAAGCCUGAUGCAGCAACGCCGCGUGAGGGAUGACGGCCUUCGGGUUGUAAACCUCUUUUAGUAGGGAAGAAGCGAAAGUGACGGUACCUGCAGAAAAAGCACCGGCUAACUACGUGCCAGCAGCCGCGGUAAUACGUAGGGUGCGAGCGUUAAUCGGAAUUACUGGGCGUAAAGCGUGCGCAGGCGGUUUAGUAAGACAGGCGUGAAAUCCCCGGGCUCAACCUGGGAACUGCGCUUGUGACUGCUAAGCUAGAGUACGGCAGAGGGGGGUGGAAUUCCACGUGUAGCAGUGAAAUGCGUAGAGAUGUGGAGGAACACCAAUGGCGAAGGCAGCCCCCUGGGUCGAUACUGACGCUCAUGCACGAAAGCGUGGGUAGCAAACAGGAUUAGAUACCCUGGUAGUCCACGCCCUAAACGAUGUCAACUAGGUGUUGGGUGGGUAAAACCAUUUAGUACCGGAGCUAACGCGUGAAGUUGACCGCCUGGGGAGUACGGCCGCAAGGUUAAAACUCAAAGGAAUUGACGG